AGCUCCAAUAGCGUAUAUUAAAUUGUUGCGGUUAAACGCUCGUAGUUGGAAUUUGUCGGGAACUACUGGUCCAUCCAAGUGAUAGGUAUGUAAGUCUCUUGGCAGCCUGGUGGUGUUUGCACUUGUGCGGCGCUUUAUCCAGGGCGAUUACUUUGAGAAAUGAGAGUGUUUCAAGCGGGCGUUUGCCGGAAUAUAGUAGCAUGGAAUAAUAUCAUAGGACCUCGUGCCGAGCAAUCGGCCAUGAGGUAACGCAAAUAGGGACAGUUGGGGGCAUUCGUAUUUAACUGUCAGAGGUGAAAUUCUUGGAUUUGUUAAAGACGGACUACUGCGAA
rnacentral:rRNA from 1 species